rnacentral:rRNA from 1 species
GGAUGUAAUUGCCUUGUUAUUAACUCUAGUAAUAUGGAAGUAAGUGAGACUAUGAAGAAUGAAGGACGGUCUGCAGGAACAGCAGCGACAAUUUUUUAUAAUUGUUAUUAUCUAGCUUGUAAAUUUUUGCUCACUAGAUUUGAACAUUGUAAUAGGGAAUUAAAUAAAGUUGUCCAUGAGCUUGCUCUUUUAGCUAGAUUUUCUACUACCAAUGAUUGGUUUGAGUCAUCUAUACGAGCGAAGUUGUAUCUAUCUUUCCCUAAUAUUAAAGGAAGGAUUGUUUCUCCAAUUUUUUUGUCCACAUUUAUGUGUUUCGUACGUUUUUUGGUCCACGUCCAUGUUUUUCGUACAUCUCCACGUUUUCUGUUGCACCUAAAAAGAAAAAGCACGUUUUAA